GCCCUCUCAGUAUCACAGUUGGAGAGUUCCCAGUACUCUACCAGUCUCAGCUAUGGGAGGGAGAGUCAAACAGAGGCCUACCCAUUCCAUUCCUAGCUUGGCCAGUGGCUAGCGAGUGGAAGGCAACCCGCUACAAGU